CCGCGAUUCAUGGUUCGCUGUGACCUGCGGGUGCCAUCGUUUCAGCUCGUGGUGAUUGGUUUUGUGCGGUGCAGCUUUAGCUAAGCGACUGUCAGUACGAGCGAAAUGAUCCGACGCUGAUUUGGCUAGAAACGUGACCGCGAUGUGUGCGGGGUUUGGUCGAUUUGGGAUUUCUGUUGUUGAGCCACGAAUACAGAGUGCUUAAUGUCAUCUCAAUUUUUCUUACGUUCCAGCUCCACUAUUAGUGUUGUUAAGCUGCUGAGAAUAGAAAGCAAUGUAGCAGGAAUACAGAAGUUGAGGUUUUCAUUGCUCUGGUCAUACAGUUUUUUAAACUAUAUACUAGAAGAACAGGGUACUCAUUCCUGCCUUCUAAGAAACUAUGUAAUUGACUGCUCAUGUUGGUUGUAAUACAUUGCUAGACACAGAGUUGUACAUUUUUCAGUUAGGUUUUUGCAAAUCAAACUAUAUUCAACAAGGCAUCUCUCCUCUUGAAACACGAACACUCAACCAGGGUGACCCAUUGCAGUUCAGAGAUGGUUUAUAUGAAUUGUUUAUGAUCUAGGCCGCUACCAAACGCCUCUGGAGAGCAGUAUACUAUUUCUGCAUUUACCAACACAUAUGGAGUAUUGGUUCUCCUGAUCCUAACUUCACAUUAGAUGGCCACUCAAAAGGCGUGAACCGUGUUGAUUACUUCACCGGUGGUGAUCGACCAUUUUUUAUUACUGGAUCUGAUGAUCAGACUGCAAAGGUUUGAGAUUACCAAACCAAGAGAUGUGUUCAAACACUUGAAGGACAUGCACACAAUGUGUCUGCUGUCUGUUUCCAUCUAGAACUACCUAUUAUAAUUACUGGCUCAGAGGAUGGCACAGUUCGCUUGUGGCACUCUACAACCUACAGGCUUGAGAACACUCUUCAUUAUGGUCUUGAGCGAGUUUGGGCUUUAGGAUACAUGAAGGGGUCAAGAAGGAUUGUGAUUGGAUAUGAUUUAGGGAAAAUUAUGAUAAAAAUUGGCCGUGAAGUUCCAGUUGCUAGCAUGGAACAACA